AGUUCCGUGGUGUUUUACGCCAAAAUGCAAAUUUGGAGACGCACUCUUAAAGGUGCCGGGGCUUCCCCC
rnacentral:tRNA from 1 species